GUGUGAGCUCCUUCCUGCUUUACCUGCAGCAGAUCCCUGGGCUCCCUGCCACAAAUUGUUUGACAGAGUUAAAAAUGUGAAUUUCUGUCUACAUAUCAUGUAACCUUUAUUUUACUAGAAAGUCACAUUAAGAUUAAAACUUCUUUUGCAAGUGAGAGCCAAGACGGGUCAUAUGGCAGCAUUCAAACAAACAGGACAACAACAGCAAAUCACAGCAGUAACAACAGGUGUAAUGAUGGUGGAGGGACACGUGUCAAGAUGCAAACAGAUGCUUAAGGGCAGUUCUACAUCCAGCUAUGUUCUAGUUGUGAAUCUACACAGAGCUGUGUGCAUUUGGCCCCUGCUAAUUAAAACAGGCAUCUCAGGAGAGGCUCAUCUUUGACUACCUUCAGUGGAAGAAAAGAAAAGGUUCAAACUGUUGUGACAUUUUUAAGGUUGGAUCUGUGAUAUUGUUAAUGUUCCUACUGGCACAAGUCGAUCUCCUCAGCACAUGUGGGGAAUUUCCUUUCAGUGCAAUACUUAAGC